CGGAUUGUAGUCUGCAACUCGACUACAUGAAGCUGGAAUCGCUAGUAAUCGCAGAUCAGAAUGCUGCGGUGAAUACGUUCCCGGGUCUUGUACACACCGCCCGUCACACCAUGGGAGUCGGAAAUGCCCGAAGCCGGUGACCCAACCAAAAGGAGGGAGCCGUCGAAGGCAGGUCUGAUAACUGGGGUGAAGUCGUAACAAGGUACC
rnacentral:rRNA from 1 species